CGAUAUCCAUUUAAAUUUAAUGACUAAUAGAUUGAUUGACAUAAACUUAUUACCUGGUUUUAACAGUUGGGGAUUUUAAUUGUAAUCUAUAAGUAUUAUUUCAUAAUAUUUAUGUAUAUCUUAUAUCUUUGUUGUAUUGUCUACGAGAAACAUAGCAUAAGGCUAUUGAUAGUGAUUGUACUAUCUUUUAUAAUCAAACCUUUGUUAUAAAGCACAUGUAUGUUUAUUGUUCUAACAUGUAAUGUGCAAAAGAGAUAGAUGGAUAAAUCAUCAUGUAUUUUUUCGUUCUAACAUGUAAUGUACAUACGAGUUACAUGGAUAAAUCGAUGCAAACCUCUUGCGUAGAUCUUGGACAGACUUUGAGGGAUGUCGCUGAUGAUAUGAACAACAAAUAUACUAUCCAAAAUCGUAUUUUAUUACGAGAAUGUUAUCACAAUUAUAUUAACCUUUGGAAGUCUGUAGUUACAAUAGCACGAUUUAUUUCAAAACUGUAGAAAUGGUUAUGAAAUGAUUUAUUUCCUUUGCAAAGUUUGUUGGAAUCUAAAUAUGCUAUUCUUAUGGUGACUUCAUAUGUCGUUGGAGAAAAAUAACGAAACAACUUUUAAUCCUAUGUACUGAGGGAAGUGUGUAGAAUUUUACCGCAAUACUUAAUUUGGUUUUUUGUUUGUUUUAUAAAGUGCUUACAAAUGAACAGAUUUUAUUGACUUCGAAGUACUUAUCAAAAGUUGUAGAGUAAUCAUCGAACAAGUCCUGUUUGCAUACGAGACAUUAAGGAAGUAAGAUUUUUGUAAAGAUAACCCCGGAUAAUUCAGUCGUUAUAUUCCGCUGUUCUACGAUGGCUGCAUUAAGCUCGCGUGGGAGAACAUCGGACACGGAGAGGGAUUGAAAUAUUCGAAUUAACAAUAAGUGUUCCAUACAAAAUGAAUGCUACAGUGCGAGUGGGGCACGAUUGCCUAUGGACAUCUAUACUUGUUUACGACAAAUUUGAUGGUUUUAAGGGAUAUUAUUUUCUACAUAACACACAUGUAUAAAGGCUUCAAAUUGUGAAAUGAUAUUUUUUUAUUAACAGCUUUACUUUAAUCUAAGUUAUAUAUUAAAAAUGAAUCAAUAAUUUUAAAAAGCAAUGGACAUUUUGAAAAAAAGAAAAAACAAACUUCCGUCAUUUUGUACUUGAUAUACUUUAUACAGAAAGAUGUAAAUUGACAAGAAAGUUAGUCUGAGAGAAAAACAGUUUGUGAAUGAUAGGCAUUUUCUAGUUUUAAACACUUGUGUUCAAAAUUUCAAUGUUUACUCUUUUGAAUAACAAUUGACAACAAUAGUCAUGCAAAUUAAACGACUGUGUCUGUGGCUUAUAUAUCUUUUACAUAUGUUCAAAGACGAUAAAUGCAUUAAGCACUUGUGUUCAUAUUUUAAAAACGUUUACUGUAAAAAAAAAAAAGGAACAAAUGACCACCUUAGUCAUGCUGUUAUACAACAAUGCCUAUAGUUUGGCAUAUAAAUAACCUUUACUUUUUUAGAACUUAAACUGCAUUUGUACAAUUAUUCACACGGACAAAGAAUAAUGUUCGUAUUAUGCUCAUUUGUUAUUGUGGAGGCAAAAAAAAACAGUGGGUCGCAAAAGUGACGAAUCAUAACUGGUUGAUACAAACUUAAAUGAAGUGAUUUCUUUUCAUUUGAAAGAUUAAAGAAUUUUUUUCAGAUUUUACCAAUUUAAUUAAAAUAUAAACCUCUGAUUUCGUUAUCCUAAAAAGACGAUCAGGCGAGUUAAUAUAGGUGUGAAUUUUAAUCAGAUUGAGAUUUUACCAGAAUGGCUCUUAUGGUUUUGGAGCUAGUAUUUGUAAUGAAAUUACUAUUUUUCAUGCAUAUUAUGUUAUGUGUAUUUUUUAUGUUCAUCAUAUUUAUUAUUGGAACUGACUGUAGAAAGGAGGAAUAUGUGAGUCCGCAAGUUUGUGAGUGCGCGAGCUUGUGAGUGCAAUUGUGUGCAUGUGUAUAUGAUUGUGCGUGUUUUGUGUGUGCUUAAAUGUUGAUAUGUUUUACAAUAUAUUUUUUAUAAAUAUUUAUAAAAUAAACAAUGCCAUUUUUCG